ACGAACGCUGGCGGUGUGCUUAACACAUGCAAGUCGAACGGUAAGGCCCUUUCGGGGGUACACGAGUGGCGAACGGGUGAGUAACACGUAAGUAACCUGCCCUCAUCUCUGGGAUAACAGUCGGAAACGGUUGCUAAUACUGGAUAUGAGCUUGCAAGGCAUCUUGUGGGUUGGAAAGAUUUUUUUUGGUUGGGGAUGGACUCGCGGCCUAUCAGCUUGUUGGUGAGGUAGUGGCUCACCAAGGCUUCGACGGGUAGCCGGCCUGAGAGGGCGACCGGCCACAUUGGGACUGAGAUACGGCCCAAACUCCUACGGGAGGCAGCAGUGGGGAAUAUUGCACAAUGGACGGAAGUCUGAUGCAGCAACGCCGCGUGCGGGAUGACGGCCUUCGGGUUGUAAACCGCUUUCAAUUGUGACGAAGCUUUUUUGUGACGGUAGCAGUAGAAGAAGCACCGGCUAACUACGUG
rnacentral:rRNA from 1 species